GACGAACGCUGGCGGCGUGCUUAACACAUGCCAGUCGAACGGAAAGGCCCUGCUUUUGUGGGGUGCUCGAGUGGCGAACGGGUGAGUAACACGUGAGUAACCUUCCCUUGACUUUGGGAUAACUUCAGGAAACUGGGGCUAAUACCGGAUAGGAGCUCCUGCUGCAUGGUGGGGGUUGGAAAGUUUCGGCGGUUGGGGAUGGACUCGCGGGUUAUCAGCUUGUUGGUGGGGUAGUGGCUUACCAAGGCUUUGACGGGUAGCCGGCCUGAGAGGGUGACCGGCCACAUUGGGACUGAGGUACGGCCCAGACUCCUACGGGAGGCAGCAGUGGGGAAUAUUGCACAAUGGGCGGAAGCCUGAUGCAGCAACGCCGCGUGCGGGAUGACGGCCUUCGGGUUGUAAACCGCUUUCGCCUGUGACGAAGCGUGAGUGACGGUAAUGGGUAAAGAAGCACCGGCUAACUACGUG
rnacentral:rRNA from 1 species